UACGGAGGGGGCGAGCGUUAUUCGGAAUUAUUGGGCGUAAAGAGCUUGUAGGCGGUUUGUCGCGUCUGCUGUGAAAUCUCAAGGCUCAACCUUGAGCUUGCAGUGGGUACGGGCAGACUAGAGUGUGGUAGGGGAGACUGGAAUUCCUGGUGUAGCGGUGAAAUGCGCAGAUAUCAGGAGGAACACCGAUGGCGAAGGCAGGUCUCUGGGCCACUACUGACGCUGAGAAGCGAAAGCAUGGGGAGCGAACAGG
rnacentral:rRNA from 1 species